CAGUAGCAGUUUCGAAGUCUGGAGUAAAAAAGUGCACAAAGAAGCUGCUGAUGGAGUGUUUGACGGAGAAGCAGAUGCAAGGAGGUACUGUGGAAGGACAGCCGCGCUGACGGAGUGUUGGUCAGAGAAGCAGCUGGAAGAAGGUACUGUGGAAGGGACAGCUGCGCUGACGGAGUGUUUGACGGACGGGCAGCUGCGAGGAGGUACCGUGGAAGGGCAGCUGCGCUGACGGAGUGUUGGUCAGAGAAGCAGCUGCAAGGAUGUACUGUGGAAG